rnacentral:lncRNA from 1 species
UCUAGUUUUGACACCUGAGUGUUGGGUGAUUGUGGGUGUGUGACACUUGUCAUGACUUCUAUUUGAGUCAUAAUUUGAGGCUAAAAAUGGCUGAUUCUAUUGGGCCUAGGUGUAUGUUCUUUAUGUCCAAAAGUUGGACCGCAAAAGGGCUGAUACAAAUGGGGCUUGUCUAUGGUUCUUAAUAUCCAAUUGUUGGAUAGCAAAUGGUCCAAUUGUUGAACAGCAAGAGGGCUAAGAGCUGAGAGGGAUUUACCUAUCCA